UACGUAGGGUGCAAGCGUUGUCCGGAAUUAUUGGGCGUAAAGAGCUCGUAGGCGGUCUGUCGCGUCUGCUGUGAAAACUCAGGGCUUAACCCUGAGCUUGCAGUGGGUACGGGCAGACUAGAGUGCGGUAGGGGAGACUGGAAUUCCUGGUGUAGCGGUGAAAUGCGCAGAUAUCAGGAGGAACACCGGUGGCGAAGGCGGGUCUCUGGGACGUGAACUGGACGCUGGAGACGCGAAAGCGUGGGGAGCAAACAGG
rnacentral:rRNA from 1 species